rnacentral:sRNA from 1 species
GCUGGGCACAGUGGCACAUGCCUGUAAUCCUAGUGGCUUGGGAGGCUGAGGCUGGAGGAUAGCAAGUUCAAAGCGAGUCUUAGCAACUUAGCGAGGCCCUAAGCAACUUAGCCAGACCCCGUCUCAA